GCCAGUGUGGUAAAGUGGUUUGAGCAUUAGACUAUGACUCUGGAGACCAGGGUUCCAACCCUUGCUUGGCCA